CAGUAGCCACGGUAAUACAGAGGGUGCGAGCGUUAAUCGGAUUUACUGGGCGUAAAGCGUGCGUAUGCGGCUUCUUAAGUCGGAUGUGAAAUCCCUGAGCUUAACUUAGGAAUUGCAUUCGAUACUGGGAAGCUAGAGUAUGGGAGAGGAUGGUAGAAUUCCAGGUGUAGCGGUGAAAUGCGUAGAGAUCUGGAGGAAUACCGAUGGCGAAGGCAGCCAUCUGGCCUAAUACUGACGCUGAGGUACGAAAGCAUGGGGAGCAAACAGGAUUAGAUACCCCAGUAGUCCCUGUCUCUUAUAC
rnacentral:rRNA from 1 species